rnacentral:rRNA from 1 species
CCUACGGGUGGCAGCAGUGAGGAAUAUUGGUCAAUGGACGAGAGUCUGAACCAGCCAAGUAGCGUGAAGGAUGACUGCCCUAUGGGUUGUAAACUUCUUUUAUAUGGGAAUAAAACGUUCCACGUGUGGGAUUUUGUAUGUACCAUAUGAAUAAGGAUCGGCUAACUCCGUGCCAGCAGCCGCGGUAAUACGGAGGAUCCGAGCGUUAUCCGGAUUUAUUGGGUGUAAAGGGAGCGUAGGUGGAUUGUUAAGUCAGUUGUGAAAGUUUGCGGCUCAACCGUAAAAUUGCAGUUGAAACUGGCAGUCUUGAGUACAGUAGAGGUGGGCGGAAUUCGGUGUGUAGCGGUGGAAUGCUUAGAUAUCUCGAAGAACUCCGAUUGCGAAGGCAGCUCACUGGACUGCAACUGACACUGAGGCUCGAAAGUGUGGGUAUCAAACAGGAUUAGAUACCCUUGUAGUC